rnacentral:rRNA from 1 species
UACGUAGGGUCCAAGCGUUAAUCGGAAUUACUGGGCGUAAAGCGUGCGCAGGCGGUUUUGUAAGUUUGUCGUGAAAGCCCCGGGCUCAACCUGGGAAUUGCGAUGAAGACUGCAAGGCUUGAAUCUGGCAGAGGGGGGUAGAAUUCCACGUGUAGCAGUGAAAUGCGUAGAUAUCUGGAGGAACACCGGUGGCGAAGGCGGCAUCCUGGACCGGCAUUGACGCUGAGGCGCGAAAGCCAGGGGAGCAAACGGG